rnacentral:rasiRNA from 1 species
ACGGAAUGUAACCGAGCUCUGAGUA